AAAAAGAAAAAAAGAAAAGAAAAGAGGUCUAGGGUUUUGGAGCAUUAACGCCCACCACCCUUCUCCCUCCAUUGCCUCUCUCUCUCUUCUCUCUCUUUCUCAACCAUCCGAAUAUCUCUUCACCCAAACCAGGUACGCUCCAAAUUCAACUACGAACACCGUUACACAAACAUAUAGGAGUAUUCGCUUUCUGUUUCGCAUUUUUUUUUUCCAUGUAAAAACUUUUCACUUUUCCAUGGCUGGAGGCUCUGCUUCUCAUAUCUUACGUAAAUAUUCAUCCAAACGUAGCAAUGUGAUUAGGGUUUCUUCGUUACUAUCCAACCGAUGCCUCCAUCAUUCCGCACAAUCCAAACCCUCAAAACCCCCAAAUUCCCCAAAUUUCGUUAUACCCUCCUUAAUCAACCGAAUAAUAUGUUAUAAUCCACAAUUCAAGCUGUUAAAUUUUGACAAACUACUGUUUUCGACGCUGGUCGAAAAUGGGGACAGUGUUCUUGAUUCAGAAAACGGGGAUUCGGGUUUUAAAGUAGUUGCUGGAUUCGAGCACGUAGGAGCUCGUGAUCCUCUUGACAUUUAUAGGGCCGUUCGAGAUUCGCCCGAGGGCAAAAAGAGGACUCAGAGUGAUUGGGAUGUACUCAUUGAGAUCUUUCGUAGUUUUUCGAAGUCGGGUUGGGCAUCCAAUCAAGCAUUGGCAGUUUAUAUCGGGGUGUCGUUUUUUCCUACCGCAGCCCACAAUUUCCGUAACUUCUUCUUCAAAAAAUGCGGGGAUGAUGUUUCAAAGUACUUGGUUGAACUGGGUCCGGGCGAUGCAGCCGAACGUUUUCUGUUCCCUAUAUUUGUUGAGUUUUGCUUAGAAGAAUUUCCCAAUGAGAUUAAGAGGUUUAGGAGCAUGAUUGACUCAGCGGACCUUACAAAACCACACACUUGGUUUCCAUUUGCUCGAGCUAUGAAACGCAAGAUUAUAUACCAUUGCGGCCCGACUAAUAGUGGUAAAACGUAUAAUGCUUUGCAAGGGUUUAUGGAAGCGAAGAAGGGUAUCUAUUGUAGUCCUCUUAGGCUUUUGGCCAUGGAAGUUUUUGAUAAGGUGAAUGCGCAUGGGGUAUACUGCAGUCUCCUUACUGGGCAAGAAAAGAAGCAUGUUCCAUUUUCAAACCAUAUUGCUUGUACUGUAGAGAUGGUAUCAACUGAUGAUAUCUAUGAUGUGGCCGUUAUUGAUGAAAUCCAAAUGAUGUCAGACCGGUACAGAGGUUAUGCGUGGACGAGGGCUUUACUUGGGUUGAAGGCUGAUGAGAUACACUUGUGUGGGGAUCCAAGCGUAUUGAAUAUUGUUCGAAAAUUCUGUUCAGAAAUAGGGGAUGAGUUGUGUGAGAACCAUUAUGAGAGAUUUAAGCCAUUGGUGGUUGAAGCCAAGACCCUUUUGGGCGAUCUUCGAAAUGUUCGCUCGGGGGAUUGUGUUGUUGCUUUCUCAAGGAGAGAGAUAUUUGAGGUGAAAUUGGCAAUUGAGAAGCACACAAAUCAUCGCUGUUGUGUUAUUUAUGGUGCUUUGCCUCCGGAGACUCGUAGGCAGCAAGCUACAUUGUUUAAUGAUCAAGAUAACGAAUUCGAUGUCUUGGUUGCUAGUGAUGCAGUUGGAAUGGGUUUGAAUCUUAAUAUUAGAAGGGUUGUUUUUUAUACCCUUUCAAAGUAUAAUGGUGACAAGAUUGUUCCAGUUCCAGCAUCACAGGUAAAGCAGAUUGCCGGAAGAGCUGGUCGGAGAGGAAGUCUCUAUCCAGAUGGGUUGGCAACCACCUUGCAUUUUGAAGACUUGGAUUACUUAAUCGAGUGCUUGAAGGAACCUUUUGACGAUUUUACCAAAGUGGGUCUCUUUCCUUUCUUUGAGCAAGUUGAGUUAUUUGCAGGGAAACUUCCAAAUGUUACUUUUCCCAAACUACUAGAAAAAUUUAGUGAGAAUUGCCGUUUGGAUGGAUCUUACUUCUUGUGCCAACACGAGCAUGUAAAGAAGGUUGCUAACAUGUUGGAGAAGGUUCAGGGAUUAUCUCUCGAAGAUCGUUUCAAUUUUUGCUUUGCUCCAGUUAAUAUCAGAGAUCCAAAAGCAAUGCAUCAUCUUCUGAGAUUUGCAUCAUCGUAUUCCCAGAAAUUGCCUGUCAGUAUAGCCAUGGGAAUGCCAAAAGGUUCUGCUAAUAAUGAUACCGAGCUCUUGGCUCUUGAGUCCAAGCAUCAGGUGUUGUCUAUGUAUUUAUGGCUGUCGCACCACUUCAAAGAGGAAACUUUCCCGUACGUGAAAAAGGCCGAGGCAAUGGCAACUGAUAUUGCUGACUUAUUAGGUAAGUCACUCAUCAAAGCUUGCUGGAAACCAGAAUCAAGGACGCAAGCAAAACCAAAGCCUCUUGUGAAGAAAGAUGGAUAUGAGAGACCAAGGUCGAUUAUUAAGUUACACGAGACGAAAAGGCUUGAAAAAUCUGUUCUGCCUGGUCAUCUGGAGAAGGUAGCAGCAUAGUGCUGUCCGAAGGUGCAUGUACUGCUAUCACACCCAAGUUCUUGGUUUGGUUUACCUUCUGCUGGGUAUUAUGAGCGAUGAUAUCUCCGUGAAAUUUAUGUAAUAUUGCUGCCUAUUCUUCAAUAAGAGAUCUUCUGUUCAGCGAUGGUUUAUAAUAUAUAUGGCAGAAAAGGAAUUGCAUGGUAUUUCAGGGUGUCUAAAGGUUGUAGUAUUAGGGCUGAAAUUAUCGAUGCAUCUGGUAGUAUCAGGAGGAUUUCCACCACCUUCACAGUAGCUGUUCUGGUUCUUGCUGUUUACUACCGGCAAAAGAGGUGCAGUAGUUCUCAGCAUGCCUGGUGGGAGCGAAUAGCACUAAUCGUGGCCUGUACCUUAGGGCCCAGUGUUCUUCGGAGUGACUCAAGAUAUCCUGAUCGGACAUAAUAGCUUUCGAGGGGGAAGCGAAAAACAGACUUUGGCACCAGUGUCCUGGAAAGGAUAUCUCUGUCUUUCGACUAACCAUAACAACUGAAAGGACCAUGGUCGUUGCGUUCAUGGAUGAUGUUGCAUUGAGCGAAUCCUUCUGGCCUUGUAAACUUAUCGUAUAUGGAUUUUUAGUUCAAUGUCACAGGUUUGUUUAUCUUAAUCUAACGUAAUUCAAGGAGUAACCUAGAAUAGAAAUGUAAACUUGUCUAGGGACUUUUAACAAGCCAAACUCGAAUGAAUUUCUAAUGAAUUAUUCGCUA